UGUUUUCUGUUCAGCCAACUUGAAUCUCCGAAAUGUCUGAACAUCCUUGAACGCAACAAAACGUUUGUUGUUGUUGUUGUUUUUUAACAGACACCAGCGGACAUCGUGAUGAAAAUCUGCCCGACAAUCGUUGAGUGUAUCGGCAGUGUGAUGUCAUCCAACCCAGUGAUGUCAUCAGUCUUCUUCUUCCUCUUCUUCUUCUUCUUCUUUAGUUUUCAGAUCAAAUUUAAACUCCUGUGUGUGUGCAGGCGGGUGAAGUGAGGUGAAACGCCCCGUCUGACCUGCAGCUGCACAGAAAACAGCAGAAAUAUGCAGAUGGCGUCCCGCCGGCUCCAGCCAGCUCGGCUCUACGAGGGUCCGCAGCAGCGGUCGGGGCGAACAACGACGUUGUGUCAGAGUCAGCAGCCGGAGAUGAACUGGUAAACAGAGCGAUUCUGGAGAAUCAUUCAUCAUGUCCGCUGUGCUGGAGUUGGACCGCUGUUGGGCAGAAACAUUUGGAUGGAUGGAAGAUGGAAGAUGCACUUCCUGACCUAAAGUUGGCUGAACUGGAUCUGAGUCUGGUGCCAGAAGACAGCCGGGUGUGCCGACAAGUCAGCCGCCGUCAGCUGGGGAUUUCAUUUGUAUUUGUGUUUGUGUGUUAAUUCUCAUGUGAAUCUUUCGUAAUCUUUGAAGAUCCCACAACAAACUACGUCCAUAUUUCACCAAUAAACACACAAUGUAAUAUUUGUUCCUUCCCAGUAAUUUACAGUAUUUUUCUCCCAGUCUCUGAGGCUGCUGGUGGAAAUAAUAAAAUAAAGCUUUGAAUUUGCACGCCGGGUGACAAAAAUGCAUCAAAAGAGCACAAUCGCCCCCCCCCCCAGGGAGGAAUAUUUUCAGAAUAAAGUUGUGUCCUGCUUUAUGUAUCAGCUGUUUGCUUCGGCGCAGUAAAGACGAGUGAAUCACCGACUGUUUAUUGUGUCUUAAUGCACAUCAUGAAACACAGAUGUGAAGGCUGAAUGUGUAAAUCACAUG